rnacentral:rRNA from 1 species
UACGAAGGGUGCAAACGUUGCUCGGAAUUAUUGGGCGUAAAGCGCACGUAGGCGGUUUGUCGCGUCUGCCGUGAAAGUCCGGGGCUCAACUCCGGAUCUGCGGUGGGUACGGGCAGACUGGAGUGAUGUAGGGGAGAUUGGAAUUCCUGGUGUAGCGGUGGAAUGCGCAGAUAUCAGGAGGAACACCGAUGGCGAAGGCAGAUCUCUGGGCCGCAACUGACGCUGGAGGAGCGAAAGCAUGGGGGAGCGAACAGG